UACGGGGGGGGGCAAGCGUUGUUCGGAAUUACUGGGCGUAAAGGGCUCGUAGGCGGCCAACUAAGUCCGACGUGAAAUCCCCAGGCUUAACCUGGGAACUGCGUCGGAUACUGGAUGGCUUGAAUCCGGGAGAGGGAUGCGGAAUUCCAGGUGUAGCGGUGAAAUGCGUAGAUAUCUGGAGGAACACCGGUGGCGAAGGCGGCAUCCUGGACCGGCAUUGACGCUGAGGAGCGAAAGCCAGGGGAGCAAAACGGG
rnacentral:rRNA from 1 species